AGAGUGAACGCUGGCGGCAGGCCUAACACAUGCAAGUCGAACGGCAGCACAGGGGAGCUUGCUCCCUGGGUGGCGAGUGGCGGACGGGUGAGGAAUACAUGGGAAUCUGCCCAAUCGUGGGGGAUAACGUAGGGAAACUUACGCUAAUACCGCAUACGACCUUAGGGUGAAAGCGGCGGACCGCAAGGCGUCGCGCGAUUGGAUGAGCCCAUGUCGGAUUAGCUUGUUGGCGGGGUAAAGGCCCACCAAGGCGACGAUCCGUAGCUGGUCUGAGAGGAUGAUCAGCCACACUGGAACUGAGACACGGCCCAGACUCCUACGGGA
rnacentral:rRNA from 1 species